UGGUUUUGAUGUUAUAUAUAUAUGUUAUAUUUGUUAUUCUCGUGGGAUUUUGUCUAUAUGUGUUACAUUUUAGUGUUAUGUCGUUGUUCUCCUCUUAUAUUUAAUGCGUUUCCCUCGGUUUUAGUUUGUUAUCCCGAUUUUGUUUUUUGUCCAUGGAUUUAUGAGUUUUGAACAGCGGUAUACUACUGUUGCCUUUAUUCC
rnacentral:lncRNA from 1 species